GGUUAAGCGACUAAGCGUACACGGUGGAUGCCCUGGCAGUCAGAGGCGAUGAAGGACGUGCUAAUCUGCGAUAAGCGUCGGUAAGGUGAUAUGAACCGUUAUAACCGGCGAUUUCCGAAUGGGGAAACCCAGUGUGUUUCGACACACUAUCAUUAACUGAAUCCAUAGGUUAAUGAGGCGAACCGGGGGAACUGAAACAUCUAAGUACCCCGAGGAAAAGAAAUCAACCGAGAUUCCCCCAGUAGCGGCGAGCGAACGGGGAGCAGCCCAGAGCCUGAAUCAGUGUGUGUGUUAGUGGAAGCGUCUGGAAAGGCGCGCGAUACAGGGUGACAGCCCCGUACACAAAAAUGCACAUGCUGUGAGCUCGAUGAGUAGGGCGGGACACGUGGUAUCCUGUCUGAAUAUGGGGGGACCAUCC
rnacentral:rRNA from 1 species